rnacentral:rRNA from 1 species
UACGUAGGGUGCAAGCGUUGUCCGGAAUUAUUGGGCGUAAAGAGCUCGUAGCGGUCUGUCGCGUCGGAUGUGAAAAAUCAGGGCUCAACCCUGGACCUGCAUUCGAUACGGGCAGACUAGAGUUCGGCAGGGGAGACUGGAAUUCCUGGUGUAGCGGUGGAAUGCGCAGAUAUCAGGAGGAACACCGAUGGCGAAGGCAGGUCUCUGGGCCAUUACUGACACUGAGAAGCGAAAGCAUGGGGAGCGAACAGG